rnacentral:snRNA from 1 species
AUACUUACCUGGCAGGGGAGAUACCAUGAUCACGAAGGUGGUUUUCCCAGGGCGAGGCUUAUCCAUUGCACUCCAGAUGUGCUGACCUCUGCAAUUUCCCCAAAUGCGGGGAAACUCUACUGCAUAAUUUGUGGUAGUGGGGGACUG